GCACAAAUAGCGGUUAAACUUUAAUGAGGUUUAUAAGCUGGGAUGUUGACAGUGUGCAAAAACACAAUGGCGGAAAUCUUGGUGGGGCGGGGCGGGGGGCGGCCGCCCCCCACCUUCACGGAAAAUUGACGAAUUUUCGGAAAUUUUGACCUAAAAGAGGGCUAAAAACAGUCUUUUCGAGUGCAAAUGGGGGGGAGGUAUGUCGGAAAUUUGAGAGUUUUGUCGGAAAUUUAGGAGGCUUUGUCCCCCCCCCCCCACUGGAAAAAGUGAAUUUCCGCACGAUCCGCUCUACAGUUUCAGAUUCCAGUUUCAGAUUCAAAUUCAGAUUCAUAUUCAAAUUGGAAUCUGAAACGGGGUCAAUU